rnacentral:rRNA from 1 species
UACGAAGGGGGCUAGCGUUGUUCGGAAUCACUGGGCGUAAAGGGCGCGUAGGCGGCUUUGUAAGUCAGGGGUGAAAGCCUGUGGCUCAACCACAGAAUUGCCUUCGAUACUGCAUGGCUUGAGACCGGAAGAGGUAAGUGGAACUGCGAGUGUAGAGGUGAAAUUCGUAGAUAUUCGCAAGAACACCAGUGGCGAAGGCGGCUUACUGGUCCGGUUCUGACGCUGAGGAGCGAAAGCGUGGGGAGCGAACAGG